GCUUUGGUAGUCCAAUGGUUAGGAUAAUUGCUUUCCACGCAAUGGACGUGGGUUUGAUUCCUGGCAAACGUG
rnacentral:tRNA from 1 species